AUUGAACGCUGGCGGCAUGCUUUACACAUGCAAGUCGAACGGCAGCGCGGGCUUCGGCCUGGCGGCGAGUGGCGAACGGGUGAGUAAUGCAUCGGAACGUGCCCAGUAGUGGGGGAUAGCCCGGCGAAAGCCGGAUUAAUACCGCAUACGGCCUGAGGGUGAAAGCGGGGGACCGAAAGGCCUCGCGCUAUUGGAGCGGCCGAUGUCGGAUUAGCUAGUUGGUGGGGUAAAGGCUUACCAAGGCGACGAUCCGUAGCUGGUCUGAGAGGACGACCAGCCACACUGGGACUGAGACACGGCCCAGACUCCUACGGGAGGCAGCAGUGGGGAAUUUUGGACAAUGGGGGCAACCCUGAUCCAGCCAUGCCGCGUGCGGGAAGAAGGCCUUCGGGUUGUAAACCGCUUUUGUUCGGGAAGAAAUCCUCUGGGCUAAUACCCCGGGGGGAUGACGGUACCGGAAGAAUAAGCACCGGCUAACUACGU
rnacentral:rRNA from 1 species